rnacentral:rRNA from 1 species
AUUGAACGCUGGCGGCAGGCCUAACACCUGCAAGUCGAGCGGAUCGGCGGACGGGUGAGUAAUGCCUAUGAAUCUGCCUGUUAGUGGGGGAUAACGUCCGGAAACGGACGCUAAUACCGCAUCCUAUCAGAUGAGCCUAGGUUGGAUUAGCUAGAUGGUGGGGUAAAGGCCUACAAAGGCGACGAUCCGUCACUGGUCUGAGAGGAUGAUCAGUCACACUGGAACUGAGACACGGUCCAGACGCCUACGGGAGGCAGCAGUGGGGAAUAUUGGACAAUGGGCGAAAGCCUGAUCCAGCCAUGCCGCGUGUGUGAAGAAGGUCUUCGGAUUGUAAAGCACUUUAAGUUGGGAGGCGUUACCAACAGAAUAAGCACCGGCUAACUUCGUGCCAGCAGCCGCGGUAAUUC